rnacentral:lncRNA from 1 species
AGAUGUACAUACUAAGGAGAGUUUCAAUGGUAGCCAUACGUGCUGCAUUAAAGCUUCAAUAUGGUGGGGAUGUGGGGGAUGUAAACAAGCCUAGCUGAGCCGGGAUAUGUUGUGUUCGAGCUCGACUCGGAGUUAAACUACCGAGCUUGACUCGGCUCAUUUAUCUUCAGGUGCUUUUGAUGGGUUUUUGGAGCUUUUAGUCGAGCCGGUUGAAGUCUUCCUGGGGCUGUUACGAUGAUGAUCCCCGAAGCAUGGAAAAAUGACAAGAAUAGGGAUCUUCAAAGGAAGGCCUAAUAUAAAUAUUGCUCGACUUUAAUGCAGCCAUGGGGUGGGCCCACUCUAGUUUAACGCGAUGAUUAUUUAACUUGCAGGAAGAUUGUGAAAAAUAUUCAUGAACACAAUGAAGUUUUGAGUUUUUAUUCAUACACUUGUUAGUUUAUUUGUGUUAUAUGUUUAAUCAUUAGACAUAGAUCGACACUUAUUAGACAUUUGGAGUCUUUGAAAGAUUGGUUGAACUUUUAAUUGAAGUGAUUAUU